UUACGGGAGGCAGCAGUAGGGAAUAUUGGGCAAUGGUCGGAAGACUGACCCAGCCAUGCCGCGUGCAGGAAGACGGCCCUCUGGGUUGUAAACUGCUUUUAUCUGGGAAGAAAAAGGCCAUGCGUGGCAAAUUGCCGGUACCAGAUGAAUAAGCACCGGCUAACUCCGUGCCAGCAGCCGCGGUAAUACGGAGGGUGCAAGCGUUGUCCGGAUUUAUUGGGUUUAGAGGGUGCGUAGGCGGCUGAUUAAGUCAGCGGUGAAAGACUUCGGCUUAACCGGAGCAGUGCCGUUGAUACUGAUUGGCUUGAGUGUUGGAGGGGUACAUGGAAUUGAUGGUGUAGCGGUGAAAUGCAUAGAUACCAUCAGGAACACCGAUAGCGAAGGCAUUGUACUGGCCAACAACUGACGCUGAGGCACGAAAGUGUGGGGAUCGAACAGGAUUAGAUACCCGAGUAGUCCC
rnacentral:rRNA from 1 species